AACUAAGUUUGUUAUUGGUAUGAGCUUUCAUGUGCAUGCACACUUCUUCAUAUAUCUUUAGGUAUCUGAAGAAGUGUGCAUGCACACAAAGCUCAUAUCAAUAACAAACUUAGUUGG